GGUGCGGCAGGCCCACUCAAGGGCACUUAGAACUCAAAAUAUCCAUGGUAGUACUGUAACUUACCGAUAGCAGUAGUGUACACUAUCUUGAGGAUGGACUAAGGUCUUAUAGAGAAAGGUAAAGGAAAAGGACCCCUGGACAGAUUAAGUCCAGCCAAAGGUGACUAUGGGGGGCAGCGCUCAUCUUGCUUUCAGGCCAAGGGAGCCGGCGUUUGUCCACAGACAGCUUUCCGGGUCAUGUGGCCAGCACGACUAAACCACUUCUGGAACAACAGAACACUGUGACAGAAACCAGAGUGAAUGGAAACGCCCUUUAUCUUCCCGCCGCAGCGGUACCUAUUUAUCUACUUGCACUGGUAUGCUUUCGAACUGCUAGGCUAGCAGGAGCUGGGACAGAGCAAUGGGAGCUCACCCCGUCAUAGGGAUUCGAACUGCCGACCUUCUGCUUGGCAAGCCCAAGAGGCUCAGUGGUUUAGACCACAGCGCCACCCGCAUCCAAUAGUAGUAGAGUACACUAUCUUGUGGAUGGUCUUAUCUACACCCUACACUGAAAGCAUAUCCAACACACAUUUAAAGCACAUGGGUUUCCCCCAAAUAAUCCUGAGAACUGAGGUCAAAGCUACAACAAGCUAUAUCCUUUACAAACUACAUAUUCUCCUUUUCUCAUAAUUCCAGAAACCAAGACCAUCCAGUGACGUGAAUGAUGGGAGACUCAGGACAGGCGGAAG